rnacentral:rRNA from 1 species
AUGGAGUCUAAUGAUGGAUCAUCCGGUUCAUCAAGUGAAACAAUCAAUGAAAUAGAAAAUCAUCCAGAAUGUCGCUAUAUGACACCAAAUGAGAUUGUUUGGCGCUUGCCAGAGAGAAUGAAGAUUGAUUCAGUAUCCAGGUUCCCCGUAAGUUAUGUCAUAAAGAAAAGCUUCUCGGUUGACAAUGCACAAGUGUUACCUUCUACAAAGCCAUAUCCAUGCAAAGAAAUGAUGACCCAUCCAUCUUCGAAGAAUAUCGAGAGUGCGAUGACCCAUACACCAGAGGAUGCAAACAAUACUACACCUCCCUCUUGCCAACCCGCAACUAAUGUCAUUGAGAAAAAAAUAGGUACUCUUUGGCUAAAAUGA